rnacentral:rRNA from 1 species
UACGUAGGUGGCAAGCGUUAUCCGGAUUUACUGGGUGUAAAGGGAGCGUAGACGGUAUGGCAAGUCUGAAGUGAAAGCCCAGGGCUUAACCCUGGGUCUGCUUUGGAAACUGUUAGACUAGAGUGCUGGAGAGGUAAGUGGAAUUCCUAGUGUAGCGGUGAAAUGCGUAGAUAUAUGGAGGAACACCGGUGGCGAAAGCGGCUCUCUGGCCUGUAACUGACACUGAGGCUCGAAAGCGUGGGGAGCAAACAGG